AUCGAACGCUGGCGGCAGGCCUAACACAUGCAAGUCGAGCGAGCGGCGGACGGGUGAGUAAUGUAUGGGGACUGCCCGAUCGAGGGGGAUAACUACUGGAAACGGUAGCUAAUACCGCAUACUAUCGGAUAACCCAUAUGGGAUUCGCUAGUGUGUGAGGUAAUGGCUCACCAAGGCGACGAUCCCGAGCUGGUCUGAGAGGAUGAUCAGCCACACUGGGACUGAGACACGGCCAAGAGUCCUACGGAGGAAGCAGUGGGGAAUAUUGCACAAUGGGCGCAAGCCUGAUGCAGCCAUGCAGCGUGUAUGAAGAAGGCCCUAGGGUUGUAAAGUUCUUACAGUCGGUAGGCGUUACCGACAGAAGAAGCACCGGCUAACUCCGUGCCAGCAGCCGCGGUAAUUC
rnacentral:rRNA from 1 species